rnacentral:rRNA from 1 species
GGCGGCACGCCUAACACAUGCAAGUCGAACGAAGUAGCAAUACUUAGUGGCAGACGGGUGAGUAACAUGUAGGUAUCUGCCCUUUGGCCUGGAAUAACACGAGGAAACUUGUGCUAAUACCGGAUAAGUCUUUACGGAGAAAGCUUUAUGCACCAUUGGAUGAGCCUGCACUUGAUUAGUUUGUUGGUGGGGUAAUGGCCUACCAAGACUGUGAUCAAUAGCUGAUUUGAGAGGAUGAUCAGCCACAUUGGGACUGAGACACGGCCCAAACUCCUACGGGAGGCAGCAGUGGGGAAUCUUGCACAAUGGAGGAAACUCUGAUGCAGCGAUGCCGCGUGAGUGAAGAAGGCCUUUGGGUUGUAAAGCUCUUUCGUCGGGGAAGAAAAUGACUGUACCCGAAUAAGAAGGUCCGGCUAACUUCGUGCCAGCAGCCGCGGUAAUACGAAGGGACCUAGCGUAGUUCGGAAUUACUGGGCUUAAAGAGUUCGUAGGUGGUUGAAAAAGUUAGUGGUGAAAUCCCAGAGCUUAACUCUGGAACUGCCAUUAAAACUUUUCAGCUAGAGUAUGAUAGAGGAAAGCAGAAUUUCUAGUGUAGAGGUGAAAUUCGUAGAUAUUAGAAAGAAUACCAAUUGCGAAGGCAGCUUUCUGGAUCAUUACUGACACUGAGGAACGAAAGCAUGGGUAGCGAAGAGGAUUAGAUACCCUCGUAGUCCAUGCCGUAAACGAUGUGUGUUAGACGUUGGAAAUUUAUUUUCAGUGUCGCAGCGAAAGCGAUAAACACACCGCCUGGGGAGUACGA